rnacentral:rRNA from 1 species
CAGUCGCCGCGGUAAUACGGAGGGUGCAAGCGUUAAUCGGAAUUACUGGGCGUAAAGCGCACGCAGGCGGUUUGUUAAGUCAGAUGUGAAAUCCCCGGGCUCAACCUGGGAACUGCAUUUGAAACUGUCAGGCUGGAGUCUUGUAGAGGGGGGUAGAAUUCCAGGUGUAGCGGUGAAAUGCGUAGAGAUCUGGAGGAAUACCGGUGGCGAAGGCGGCCCCCUGGACAAAGACUGACGCUCAGGUGCGAAAGCGUGGGGAGCAAACAGGAUUAGAUACCCCUGUAGUCCCUGUCUCUUAUAC